AUGAAAGAGUAAAUUUGUGAUUUGCAAACAUUUGCAAAGUGAAGAUUUACUCAGAGCAGGCAAAGCUAGUCUUUGAUUGCUCGGUACAAGUAAACUCUUUGUAAUACAUUGACGCCUACGCGACAAGUGUAGGGGUUGUAAGUGAGCUCGUCCGCAGGAACAUUCAAUUUUGUAUUAAUGAGUUGAAUAGCACUGAGAAUCGACUGGAGUCAGAUGCUGCUACUACCAGGAUACAUUUUCUGUCCUGGAUGGAGUAAGUCUGCAACGUAGAGGCAUACGUGGCAAAUACAGUUGAAUCAACUGCUACUUUGUCGCCUUGACUCUAGCCGAUUUGAAUACUAUUCGAUAGCUUUGGGUACGAGACCGUGGAAUACUGCGGUUCUCUGUACUCAAUGAAACUCGUUUUCACCACAUGGCAAACCUAACUAUUGCUUGCUUCUCGCCUCGGGCUGGAGGUGAGUCAGAAUAGUAAUCUGGUUGA
rnacentral:rRNA from 1 species